rnacentral:lncRNA from 1 species
ACCUCUUUAUUUUCUGUACUUUUAUUAUUUGCUUAUGAAGAAUUGUGAUUGAGAGAAGUAUUAUUGAAACUAUGAUUAGAAUAUUGUGGAAUAUGACUUUGGACUGACCAAUUUGGAGAAAAUUUGUGACCUUGAGAAUUGAGAUUAUCAAAUUGUAUUGUAUUAAGUGAAGAUAUUGAAUUCUGUGUGAUGAAUUGAGAAAUUGAAUAUAAUAAGUAAAUUGGAGCUCAAUAAUUGAAUAUAUAUAAACUGCAAAGAAAGUAAGUGGGAGAUAAACUGAUAAGAAUAUGGAAGUAUUGUUGAAUUGAUAGUCGUAGAAUAGAUUAUGUGUUGAAUUAAGGUAGAAGUAGUAAACCUUGGUAUUUUGUAGUUUGAUAAUUAAU